UACAGAGGUCUCAAGCGUUGUUCGGAUUCAUUGGGCGUAAAGGGUGCGUAGGUGGUGGGGUAAGUCGGAUGUGAAAUCCCGGGGCUCAACCCCGGAACUGCAUUCGAAACUGCCUUGCUCGAGUACUGGAGAGGAGACUGGAAUUUACGGUGUAGCAGUGAAAUGCGUAGAUAUCGUAAGGAAGACCAGUAGCGAAGGCGAGUCUCUGGACAGUUACUGACACUGAGGCACGAAGGCCAGGGGAGCAAACGGG
rnacentral:rRNA from 1 species